rnacentral:rRNA from 1 species
CCCCCAGGGGCUGUGCAGUGUCGUGUCGUGGCGACGAGGGGGCCGCUACCGGACGCCGCUCAGGCUCCGCCUCGCCGCCCGCCGCGACGACGCGCUCUAUUGCCUCCUCCCGCCGAAGCGGAAGCAGCGGAGCCGCCUCUUCCGCCACCGCCCCCUGGACGCCCGCCGCCUCCGCCGCGCCCUCUACCGCACCCUCGUCGAGGUGAGCCCCGGGACCUCGCUCCAGCCGUCGCGCACCUCCCUGCGGAUGCGCGAGCGGACGGAGGUGCAGCGCGCCGAGGCGGCCCGGCGGCGGCUGGCGGCGCGUCGCGAGGCCCGCGAGCUGUACCCCGAGUAGUACCCCCCUUUGGAGGAGGCGCGGCUAGAGCUCCGGCGGGACCGGAGGUAGCGGCGCCUCGGCUCGCUGCCGCUUCCACUGCCGCGCCUCCGACAGCUACUCCUUCGGUUAUCCACCUUCCUUCCCGAGCUGUCCUUGGCACUGUAGCGGCUACGGGAGUUUUAAGAAGGUUGUUUUAGCAAUAGGACAUUUCUUUAGCGUUCUGCCAGCACAUAUAGAAACCUCCUCAAAUAUACACUAGUGAAAAAUGGACUCUGGGGACAAUAUUAGUCACCGACGUAGCUAGUAACCGGACGUUACUUUUUUACCUUCUUGUAGGUCAUGGAUUUCUUCUAACGACCCCUAGCCUGACAAGGACAACUCCAACCCUUCUCGAUACAAACGUCACUCACCUUCGUCCUCGAAUAGUGCAAGAGGGUCAAGGAACUCUCCUACACCAGUUGGCGGACAGGAAGUUUAAACUGUAUAGAUCGAGUCGUAGGUAAUAAACUCGUCUAUUUUCUCGAAGUACUUCUGUAUUACCAAGGACUGAUGACAAUACGACCACCUCCCCUUGAGGUUAGUGAAUUACGAACCAAACCAGGUGUGCCCUGUCACUGUGGUAACGUGGUGCUGGGCGUAGUGUUGUAAAAUCGAGUCCAGAACCCGUCCUUCAUAUAAUCUGAGAUAGGACCAAGACAUAGGCUUCUGAAUAUGGGUGUGUGUCUUUGAUACAACUCGUUAUGAUCAGUCCACCUAGAACUGUUGUAUCUAUACUUACUCAAGGGUUUCCAUCUUUUGGAACUAAAGUACCUGACGUAUAACCUCCUUCCACUGUACGACAUAUAAGGAGGCUUUACCACCGUAAUGCUGGUCUAGAGUCCUGAGUCCCUGAACGUUGACCUCACAGACCUACGUGGUUUUCUUGGUUACCAGCUUCCUCCUUGGAUGGGAUUGGUCGUGGUCGGUUUCCUAAUCCCGGAUCGAGUGUUCGCAAACAGUAUGCAUUAAUUUCCCAAUUAGGUUUAGUAUAAUAAACGGAUAGAUCGACACUAAGCGUCUUCAUCAACGGAGGUUUGUUCCCCUUGUGUGUAGGGUACAAAUCACCUAGCUGACAGUGUUCACUAAGCUAAGUGUUGAUAUCAAAAAAAACCAG